GGUAGCGUGGCCGAGCGGUCUAAGGCGCUGGUUUAAGGCACCAGUCUCUCCGGAGGAGUGGGUUCCAAUCCCACCGCUGCCA
rnacentral:tRNA from 1 species